GAGCCGCAUUGGUAUUGAGCCAUUGAGCUCUAGCCAGCGUUUGUCGCCUCUCGCGCGCUGUUGCGGUCGCCUAUCGUCACGACUCAUUUGCGGGUUUGUAUGCCCGCUUUUUUUUUUUAAGGAAUUCGCUCGGGAUAUUACUUUUUCCAGGAAUUCUUCUGUUCAAGGUUUCGUGGCUAAGCGUCUGACGCUGACAGCAGAAGCUAACGGUUGCUGCAGGGUUUCAGAGCAAGACUUAUCAAGCGAUCCCCCUGAGGUGGCAGCUUGGUACUGCACGAAGUCUCGACCAAUGCGCAUUUAUUUCCAGUCACUUUGAAGAUCUCUUCCGACUGAGCCUUCUUACAAGGACUUCUCUAAGGCUUUCACCUAUUUAACCUGACAGUCAAGAAAUACAGCUGUUACUUCUGACCUAAGCUGGAGGAUGCCCACACAGAAUGGGUGCUUAAUCCAUGUGCCUCGCACUUGGAUCCUUCUGCCUAUGGAGCACUGGGAUUGUAGAUUCACUGCUCUUCUUAGCAGUGCUUCAAAACAAAGCUUUGUUAACCAUUACCUAAAGUGCCUUCACUCCAUUGUCAAAGCACUUGCAUGUGCUGCUCCAUUUGUAAACUGAAGCUGUACCAAUUUAUUUGUGUAAAGCUAGCAUGAUAUUACUUUCAAGUACCCACUGUGUUCCUGUAGGGAGUGUACUGCAUUCCGUGACACAACCAGCAUGAAGUGCAGGUGAAAUGUGCUACUCCGGUCCGGAAUCAGCCACGAGUGCACAUCAACACCGUUAUACAGAGCCUGUUCACAUGUUGGAAACGUUACAGAUAAGGCAGUGUCCCGUGCUGCAAAAACCAGAAGUUAACCAAAGGCCACUACUUUGCCCAUUUAAAGGUGAUCGAAUACUUGUUCCUGUACACUGCAAUCCAAGGACUCGAGUUCAGAGCAGUGCAACAGAGGGAUGGUAGAAACUCGUAAAAACUGAAGAUGGGCACAUGUACAUGGUGUAGCAUACGCUGCAUUUGAUGCAAAAUUUGUCACAGGAAUUGGACAUCUUGAGGUUUAAUAUAAAAUACAGGAACAAUUUAUUUUAAUAAAUCUAAAUAAAGACUCCAUUGCUGGUAAUGCAAGCUUACGUUUGUUAGUACAGUCAAGAACGAGCUGUCAAAAAGACAUGCAUGACCAUAUUUAUAAAUUCUUGAGCAGAUGUGGCAUUCUUUUACUUAACUAUAUCAUUUAUGGUGGGCAUAUCUUAGCUAUUACUACUGAGAAAAAGCAAUGCAUUUGCUUUAGUGAAUACUUCAACUCUGACUUCAUUGAAGCACAGAUUUGUGCCUUGUCUGACAUGGGUCUCCUGCUUGUGGCACAUAUUUUGCAGUAGUUGUACCCAAUAUUUCAAGGCUACUAAAGCAGCGGGUGUUGUAGAGGCUUCCAGAGGCUGUAUCAGUACUGCCGUAAUACUCACCACUGCAUGCUGAAGAUGAUUUCGGCUGGUUUUCAACCUGUGGCAUUUUCUCUAAAAACUCUUGUUGCAUCCAGCUGUGCUAAGACAUCGGCAGAUUGCGAGUACUGGGAGGAGCAAUGCCUCUUCGGGUAGCCAUUAACACACAAUUACACACAGCUAUAAAUGACAAGUUGGAGCAAAAGGAAGUGUUAGUGUGCGGCUCAGUUGAGAGCAGGCCUGGCCUGCUUGAGCACACUGAGGCAACUGAUUUGACCACCGUGACUGCCAUGAAUUCUUUACUCUCCCACAAAACUCUACACAACACAAAGGGUGCCACCUGUCACCUUGCGGCAAUGAUGAUUAUGACGUCUACACUUAAGGGUCAAAAUGCUAUAACUCGUAGUUUCCUCUGUCUGCACACUUCUGCACACUCCUUCACUUGAUUGUAAGCCCAUGUCCUAUCCAGCCUGCCUUCAUAGUACAGGCUGUCUGAUUGGCUUAUACUCAGUGUCACACAGGCACCCACAAGUUCCUUUAGGAUAAGGGAGCACGAGACUUCCCAAUGGAGUUCAACCUCAAGGAAACUGUGGGCGUGUCACACGGCCAAUAACCAAUUUUGAAAAGGAGCCGCCGGAGGUGCAUUCAUUGGUAUUUGAUUUUUGUAGAAUUACAAGAAUGUAAUUCCAAUUAAGCUCGUAGCUAUUAUAAUUAACACUCCUUCCAUAAAAAUUGAUUCAAUAUAUUUGAUGUGAAAAACAUACCUCAUUAAAAAUCGGUGUGCUCACUAAACAUAGCAGUGCUGACAGUGACACUAGCCACCCUGUGCUCAACUGUGCUUUCCAUUACGGCGUGGCGAGUAGGCUCUGCAUUCUGCUACCCGAACUGCUGCAAACUAUACUAAAACACAUCAUUUCGUGCACGGUGACCUCGUCAGCUUUCCUUUUGUCUACUGUGCCAAUGUCAGUCGACCACACCUACCAUUGCAUGGCUGCCACGACAAAGGCUACUUUUACAUGAACCGGACGCGAGUGGGUGAAGUCUGAAUUCGGGAUGACCGAGCCCGAUGUGACUGUGUACAUGAACUGCUUGUGAAUGAUGAAUCUGGACUCGACGGCAAACAGCGUCGAGCCGAGACAACACGUUAGAACUAGGCUUCUGGUUCCAGCUGCCAUCUGCAACAGUUCUAUUUUCAUAGGUCUUCUUGUUACGAAGAGGUUGUACUGCACAGUGCUUGUCUUGGCCUCGUCCUGAUGCUACUCCCACUGCCGGCGCCUAGAUCGCGAAGUCGCGGUGCUCCCGUGCAAGUCUCGGUGCUGGCGGGCUCGAUCUGUCUGCGUGCACAUGCAUGCUGCAAACUGGUCCGACUGGGUCAGCCUACCUCAUAUAGUCGGGCUGACUGAGCCCAACUCUACACUUGUUCAGCCCAACCGGCUAGUGUUUACAUGAACUCGACAGGCAUACUCCAGCCAAACAAGCCGACUUGACUCAAUUCUGUAGGGUUCAUGUAAAUGCUCUGAAAGGCUAGAAAAACAUGGUGCCAAGCGGCCUAGGUGGGCAGUAUUGUGCAGCAACGAGCAUGACUAUUGCUGAAUUGUGCUUCAGCUUUCAUUUACUUCAAUAGAAAUGUCCUAACAUAGGCAACAUUACCUUUAAUGCAAACAAUAAUUAAAUUCCCAGUUCCACAACAAGUAUGAACAAGUAUGGGACGUCACGGGAUCGAAUUUCAGCCACGAUGGCCGCAUUUCAGUGGGGGUAAAAUGUGAAAACACUCAUCGACUUAAAUUUAAGUGCAUGUUAUAGAAUCCCUGGUGGUCCAAAUUAUUCCUGCUUCCCCCACUACUGCAUGCCUCAUAAAUCGAGGUUUUGGCACGUAAAACCCCAUAAUUUUUUAAAGCGAGAGCACUCUCCUCAGCCGCCAUAGGAGAUUGCCAAUCUCCCUCGACCAAAAGCUUCAUUAAACUUAGCUGAUGGGCGACCAUGUGACAUUGAGUGCAUCUCCCUCAACAUGACGACGACAGAGUUAAUAGGAGGUUGUGGGUGCCUGUGUGACAGGAGUAUCAAGCUCUUGCUGAGUGUAUUUAUGAAUGCACAAUAGAGGUGGCUGUGUGUAACUCAACGGUACAUUAGAUUUUUCAUGCUUGUCAGCUACACAGUUCAUUACAAAGUUUUUACACCGCAACAGCCUUGGUUUGAAAGCCUGGCUGAAUUUCAUUUGAAGCAUUUGAUCAGCUCAAGCUGCUAUAAUUUUGCACUGUAGUGUAUUGGAUUCUAAAGUUGGAUAAGUGCUACAACAGUUCACACACUUCUGUGUUGCAAUACCAAGGAAUUGAGUUAAUGUCCUGGCAUGCAUGCUGAUUAGUGCAGGUUAUGGUGUGACCCCUUGCAGAAUUGAACUGCAAGAUGUUUAAUGUUCAGCAUUGUACAUUGUUUUUCUAGUAACGUAAGUCGCACAGCUUCUCGUUAUACACUCUGUUAGGCCAAUUGCACUAUACGUACAGCUCCUGCAGAUAUAUAAAAAGGGCACACUGGACUUUCCACAAGUGAACUUCACUGCACCAGGUUGCAUGGAAAAUGACACCACAAUUCCUGGACAGACCAGUUCGGAUGUCAUGUUCUUAACAGCAGUGUUUCCAACCAUAAAUGUAAAGCAUUGUGUUGCAACCCCCUUCUCUCCCCCCUGAAUUUCUGGGGUGCUGUAGACUUUCACAUAUUGGUGAAUGAAAAUUUUUUGGACUGCUUGAUCUGAGGCAGGCUGAAGCAAACAUUGAAGCUUCUCAUAUUUUUGGUGGUUUGGCUUGGUGUAGUACUGUAAUGGAAUUGUGAACUACAUGUCUGACGAAAGCAGUGCUGAUUACAACUUGUCAUGCUGUGUUCAGCAUAGUAUUUUGAUAUGGUUCAUGUGUUGAGCUCUUUUUUAAAAAAGAAAUACAAAACUACUUUCAUAAUUAUGUUGCUGUCAAAAUGCUUAUGCCACCGGAUAAGUGGAAUACCGUAUGUAAUUGCGAAAGCUUUAGUUAAAUGUUAAAAGAUGCGUCAACUGUUGCUGCUUGUCGAUGUCUUUGAGUACAAAUCUAUGCUGUACGUAAACUGUUGUUACAGCACUGUUCAGUUCAUCAGCAAAGAAUAAAGAAGCCCAGCUCAAUUGUAUUUAAAAUGCUGCUGUGGAGCUGCAAAGUGCUUGGCACACUUUUUCCAAAUUUAACUAGAAAGCAUUCGUUUUUUUCGUCGCAACACUGUAGUCAGUGUGGCUGCUGUGCUGGAAGAAAAACGGGAAACCUCGGCAUGGAGCCAAUGUAGUGACAAAGCGACUUGUCUUCAGCACAGUAUGGCUUCUUGAAAAGAGGACAGAAUUUUCACACUAUUUCGGUGUACCAUUAGUUCUACAACUUGCACACUGUCUCCCUGGGCACUUCUGCCAAGUUGCUAACAGUGUAUUAGUUGUAUAAAAGAGGGUGCCAUGGCCUUAAAUACAAAAGAACCCUGGCAAUACCUGCUGGUUGUUAGAAAAGAAUUCCAAGAAAAUAGAGAAG